rnacentral:rRNA from 1 species
GUCGAACGAUGAAGCCUUUAAGGGGUGGAUUAGUGGCGAACGGGUGAGUAACACGUGGGCAAUCUGCCCUUCACUCUGGGACAAGCCCUGGAAACGGGGUCUAAUACCGGAUAACACUCUGUCCCGCAUGGGACGGGGUUAAAAGCUCCGGCGGUGAAGGAUGAGCCCGCGGCCUAUCAGCUUGUUGGUGGGGUAAUGGCCUACCAAGGCGACGACGGGUAGCCGGCCUGAGAGGGCGACCGGCCACACUGGGACUGAGACACGGCCCAGACUCCUACGGGAGGCAGCAGUGGGGAAUAUUGCACAAUGGGCGAAAGCCUGAUGCAGCGACGCCGCGUGAGGGAUGACGGCCUUCGGGUUGUAAACCUCUUUCAGCAGGGAAGAAGCGAAAGUGACGGUACCUGCAGAAGAAGCGCCGGCUAACUACGUGCCAGCAGCCGCGGUAAUACGUAGGGCGCAAGCGUUGUCCGGAAUUAUUGGGCGUAAAGAGCUCGUAGGCGGCUUGUCACGUCGGAUGUGAAAGCCCGGGGCUUAACCCCGGGUCUGCAUUCGAUACGGGCUAGCUAGAGUGUGGUAGGGGAGAUCGGAAUUCCUGGUGUAGCGGUGAAAUGCGCAGAUAUCAGGAGGAACACCGGUGGCGAAGGCGGAUCUCUGGGCCAUUACUGACGCUGAGGAGCGAAAGCGUGGGGAGCGAACAGGAUUAGAUACCCUGGUAGUCCACGCCGUAAACGUUGGGAACUAGGUGUUGGCGACAUUCCACGUCGUCGGUGCCGCAGCUAACGCAUU